rnacentral:lncRNA from 1 species
GCCCCACAGAACUGGCUUUACCCUGAAGUUCUGUUUGGAACCAUAAACCAAGACAAUGGAAAUAGAAUGAGUGUCAUGAAGCCUCUCACAGACUCCUGGAGCCUCAGCCAAGAUCUCCAUCAAAGCUGCUAGCUCAUGAAGAAGAUCCACAAACACCAGUAGUAUUCUCAACUGAAAGUUGCAGGUGUAACAUGCACAAUCGACAUGCCCAGUAUUCACCAACUUACUGUACAAUACCAUCCUACCACCCUUACAUCAGUACCAUGGAGACGCCACCUGCCAAAUCAGAGGAAUCCAGUUGUUUCCAGAAGUUGCCCUUCUCUAAUAAGUGCAAAGAGACUCAUUCAUGUUCUGGAUACAGUCUUGGUCUUUUGAAGCUUGUAAAAUUCACCCCAGAGAGCAAUCAGAGGAACCUUAAUUUGGGAGUCCAGAGUAAUCCUAAAAUGAAAGGAGGCACUGUCUAUCAGUCAUCAUCAAGGAUGAAAAAUGAACAUGAACAUCCUCUGUGUAGCUGCUGGUCCCAGAAUGAGGAAGACAUGUGGAACAGACCUGAGCCCAGCCCAAAGCCUGGACUCCAGCCUAGUCCAGUUUGGCCCAGCCAAGCCCAAGCCAUAUCAUGAGAACCACAGCCAACCUGCAGUCCUCGAGUGAGAAAAAUAAAUGCUUUUAUAAGUCAUGGAGAUAUUGGAGU